GAAGUCGGCCGCUCAACCGACUGAGCCACCCAGGCGCCACAAAAGUUGUUAGGUUUCUGACCACACAUCAACCACAGGGCAGGAGAGGCCUCCACACACGCAGAGGUCAGAGGGAUUUGCUUACUGAAGACUGACAAAAAGUCACACAGCUUUGUGUAAGAAUCUGCAAGGGAGUCUGACGGAGGAGUCCCGGACCUCACCAGACGGGCCUCCAAAUUACUGUUCUCGGGGCAGCUGUUUGAGGAGGAAGAAAGGUUGGUGGUAAUUCGUCGAUGGCUGGGUUGGGUGGGGACAUCGGUGGGGUUCAGGGACCGGGGCGGGGCGGGGAGGGGGGCACCGCGGGUACGUUGAGCUCCUGAAGUUACAUUUGUGCGGAGCAGCCUUCUGAGGGAAGGACGGACAGCGUCCACCUCCGGGCCCGGAAGGGGCCUCAGACCCACUGUGUAAGGGGCGCCGUCCGAUACAAUGGCCGCUCACUCAUCUCCGUGUAGGCGGGCUGGGGCAGGGAGCUGUCACGGGACGGAGCACUGGUCUCAGCGCCUGGGAGUCAUGGGGUAUGUGGAGUAGAUUCGGACAACCCGAGCCCUGCCUGCAGCCGGGAAGGCGGAAAGUCCCUAACGGCUUGUUUUAAGUCAAGGCAAAAGAGGGUGUUGUUAUUAACACCGACACCGGAAGCAGACCCCACCUGGGAGUCCAGGAAUCCAAGCCAGGAAACGGGGUGUCUGAGUGAGGGGUAGUUUCAGACCGACCGGUAAAAGACCUUAGUCGAUAAACUCUUCUCCCCCUGAAAGGGGAAAAGCAUCUACCAAAGGGCGCCCUCUGCCGGUGCACGGGCUGUGAUCCCAGGGGUGGCCCUGACCUUCCGCAGGCAGGCCGUGUGAGCGACCAGCUCUAAGGGUUGGAUCAAAUGACAGUUGCACACGUCACAGCUUGAACCCCCAGCCCCUCCUGUGGGUACAGGGAGACCCCGCCGGGCUGGGUUGGACAGAUAAAGCCGUAUUUGACAAGCCGGCGCCCCUCAGGGCCAGAGCCAUAAGGGACCACAAAGUUACAGGACCGUGGCAGGUGCCCAGAGAAGAGUUCUGCACCGCCCUUGGAGAGAGGACAGAGUGCGAGAUCCCACAGGACAGGGCAGCCCCGUGUCACAGGUGAACAUGGUGGUCGGUCGUCCCCUCUCCCCCCUCGGGAGACAGAAUGUGCAAGGACCUAUAGGACUCCUCCACGAUGACGUGAUGGGACGGAGAGAAUGGCGUCCACCAGGACUGCAGAGGUUGAAGAAGGCUGAGCGGCCGGAGGAGGAGACAAGCAGUCAGAGUGCGGAGGCUGGACCGCCCGUGAGGAGGGCCACUUGUCGGGCGGGGUCGCCCUGGCACCGAGGCGGUCAGGCACGCGGGCAGCCCCCCUCCCCCCCUGCCCUGCCGCGGCCUCCAGAUGCCGCUGGGGUCACCGCACCAGCUGGUGGAUUAGCCCAGGCGAGCACUUCUGCGGGGUGCACACGGGGCACCCGUGCAACGCGCGUACCUGGGGUCCGCAGCGGAGAAGCCACGGGCAGGACAGCGAGGCUGCGGACCUCAAACAUUACCGGUCUGACGGCCUGUGGUCGUCUCGGGCUGUGAAAGAGGGAUUCAGGCCAAGUUCAAUCAAGUUCACGUCUGCGUUACAUUGAAGAUGACGUUCCAAGAGGCGCUGGAGGAGAUAAACUCCCGGCAUUGGUUUUUCAGUGUCACACGUGUCAUUCAUCGGGGUGCGAGGGCUUUUAUGUUGGAGAGGAGCUCAAAAGGCGCCUGCUUACCAUCCCCCCUCCCCUGCAGCCAAGCCUUCAGCGGGGACUGAGCUGACGUCCUCCCUCCUCCCUCCAUGGCCGCUCCUCCCCGCUGGGGACAUGACCCCAGACAGACCGGCUCCUCAGGAACCACAUAUGGGAAUGGAAUCAAAUUUCCCAGAACCUCGUAAACAACCACUUCUCUGUCUCUCCUCACCCAGAGUUCGUGACUCUGCCCAGCAAGCAUCUCCCUUGGUCUUUUCUCCUUAGUUUGAAUUUGACUCUGUCCAGAAGAAUCUCGGUUUCUCCCUCAGAGGCUUUGUCACAGAACCUGUCCGCCUUGCCUCAGUCCACUUGUCAUACGUCCCCAGGCC